rnacentral:SRP_RNA from 1 species
AGUCGGGUAAGUCAUACACGACCAGCUCCUGCUGAAUCCCCCAGGACCGGAAGGUAGCAAGGGUAAGCGGUUGUAGCGGUGCGAUGUAUUAAGCUUACCCU